rnacentral:tRNA from 1 species
GGCGGGGUGCCGGAGUGGUUUAACGGGCUGGUCUCGAAAACCAUGCGUCCCGCAAGGGGCACAGAGGUUCAAAUCCUCUCCCCGCCGCCA